rnacentral:tmRNA from 1 species
GGGGCUGACUUGGAUUUCGACAGAUUUCUUGUCGCACAGACAGCAUGCCAAGUGCUGCUUGUAAAACAGCAACAAAAAUAACUGUAAACAACACAGAUUACGCUCCAGCUUACGCUAAAGCUGCGUGAGUUAAUCUCCUUUGGAGCUGGACUGAUUAGAAUUUCUAGCGUUUUAAUCACUCCAUAACCUUAAGGCUAGACGCUUUUAAAAGGUGGUUCGCCUUUUAAACUAAGAAACAAGAACUCUUGAAACUAUCUCAAGGUUUUAGAAAGUUGGACCAGAGCUAGUUUUAAGGCUAAAAAACCAACCAAUUUUCUAAGCAUUGUAGAAGUUUGUGUUUAGGACAAGAUUUUUGGACUGGGGUUCGAUUCCCCACAGCUCCACCA